rnacentral:tRNA from 1 species
GGGCAGGUAGCGAAGUGGACAAACGCGGCUGACUGUAAAUCAGCUGGCUCAGCCUUCGGUGGUUCGAAUCCGCCCCUGCCCA